rnacentral:lncRNA from 1 species
CCACCUGCUCGUCCUGCCACUGGAGGUGCUCUGGCAGUCGCUCGUCACCGUCGUCACCACCGCCGCGGGCGCCGUCGCUUCCGGCCUCGAUGGCCUGUGCCACUACGUCACGGGCUUCUUCGCCCAAAUCUUCGCGGCCAUCGCCGGUGCGGCCCACCUGUUGGUCCUGCCCCUAGAGACGCUCUGGCAGUGGCUCGCCACCAGCGCGACCGACGCCGCGGGCUCCAUCGCUUCCGGCAUCGACGGCCUGUGGCAGCACGUCACGGGCUUCCUCGCCCACAUCUUCGCGGCCAUCGCCGGCGCGGCCCACCAAUUCGUCCUGCCGCUAGAGACGCUCUGGCAGUGGCUCGCUACCAGCAUGACAGACGCCGCGGGCGCCAUCAGCUCCGGCUUCGACGGCCUGUGGCAGCUCGUCGCGGCCUUCCUCCCCGGAGCCUGGUCCGCCGUGGCGGGCGCAGCACACCAGAUCCCACAGAAGCUGGCGAACCUCUGGCGGUGGCUCCAGGCCGCUGCCCCGGUCGCGCUCCCGUACGUGCUCGCCGUGGCUGCGGUCGUCCUCGUCGCGACGCUCGUGUGGUUCUGCUGGCCGGUCCUCUUGGAAGCUAGCGUGGGGGUCGGGAAGGCACUCGUGAUCGGCGCCUGCUUCUUCG